rnacentral:rRNA from 1 species
GAUGAACGCUGGCGGCGUGCCUAAUACAUGCAAGUCGAGCGAACGGACGAGAAGCUCGCUUCUCUGAUGUUAGCGGCGGACGGGUGAGUAACACGUGGAUAACCUACCUAUAAGACUGGGAUAACUUCGGGAAACCGGAGCUAAUACCGGAUAAUAUUUUGAACCGCAUGGUUCAAAAGUGAAAGACGGUCUUGCUGUCACUUAUAGAUGGAUCCGCGCUGCAUUAGCUAGUUGGUAAGGUAACGGCUUACCAAGGCAACGAUGCAUAGCCGACCUGAGAGGGUGAUCGGCCACACUGGAACUGAGACACGGUCCAGACUCCUACGGGAGGCAGCAGUAGGGAAUCUUCCGCAAUGGGCGAAAGCCUGACGGAGCAACGCCGCGUGAGUGAUGAAGGUCUUCGGAUCGUAAAACUCUGUUAUUAGGGAAGAACAGAUGUGUAAGUAACUGUGCACAUCUUGACGGUACCUAAUCAGAAAGCCACGGCUAACUACGUG